ACAAAUGUUAUUAAGUAACGUCCU
rnacentral:siRNA from 1 species